rnacentral:pre_miRNA from 1 species
GAGACACCCCUCCGGGGCAAGACUUGCUUCAGUGGGACUUUGGUGCUCACUGAGUCUGCCCCCUGAGCGUGUCCCC